rnacentral:tRNA from 1 species
UGCCCGAUAGUAUAAGGGUAGUAUAGAAGUCUCUGAAUCUUUUGGUCUUGGUUCGAAUCCAGGUCGGGCAA